UGUAACUCCGACGAUUGCAAAACUCGGACGCCGCGACCGAUUUAACUCCGAUACAUCCACUUAAAAUAUAAUUUAUAUUUUUAUUUCUGUAAUUAAUUACUGAAGUAUCAUAUUAUAACUAUUCUACUUUAAGAAAAACCAAAAAUUAUAUUUUUAUCGGUUUAAUAAGUGGGUAAAAGAAAUAUUUUUUAAGCUCGGGUCAGCUGGGUUGUGUACUAAAAAUUUAAUUUCUGAGAAAAUUUUGCUGUUGACAGCUCGUCGCUGGAAAAAGUUUAGUGUUUUUUCUAUAUAAUAAAACAUUAUUUGCAAUCAAAAUUAUUAAUAAAAGUUAGUGUAGUUAUUGAUCUACAAGAUGCCAAAGGGAACAAAAGAAAAGACCUAUAAGGACAAGCCCGACUCUAAGGAAGGUAUUAGGAAUGCCUUGCAGUGUGUACGAGAUGGUUCUACCAUAGCAUAUGCAUCCAAAACAUUUAAUGUCCCAAGAACAACACUGCACAACAAAUUGACCGGCAAAUACCCAGAGGAGUGCCCCAAUGGCAGGCCAACAAUUCUUUCAAAAGAACAGGAAAAAGAACUUGUCAAAUGGAUCCUGGGAUGUGCGGAUGGCUGGCAUCCCAUCGGGAAGGAACAAGUUCUGGACAGCGUUAAACUCAUCUGUGAGGUCUACAAAAUUCCAAACCAUUUUACAGCUGGAAGACCCGGAGACGUUUAGUUCAGGAAUUUUCUUAAGCGUCAUCCAGAGCUUAGCAUGCGCAAGCCAAAAUCCUUCUCAUUGGAAAGAGCUACUGUUACUGCUGAAGACCUCACGGAAUGGUUUCAGAAUUGUCUUGGAUAUUUCACAGAACACAACCUUCUGAGCAUUUUACCAGACCGUGUUUUUAAUUGCGACGAAAGUGCCUUCUUUUUGACACCGGAAGAUGGAAAUGUCCUGUCCAGGAGAGGUUCACGUGUAGUUCCAUCUCUUAAAAAUUCAGGACCGAAGCAAUGUAUCACAGUACUCCUCAGGGUGUCAGCUACUGGCGAACUUGCUCCUCCAAUGGCUGUUCAUAAAACUGACAUUACUCCAAAAAUUGCCAUUCACAACGCAGAAGGAUGGAAAAUGGGAACGUCACCACAGAGUAGAGAUGUGCGCCAAGCCGAUUUUAGCCGCUCGGCGCGAGCCGCCGCGAUUUUUGCUUAGCCGCCGCCGCCAAAAAUUUUUAAUGCGCGCCGCGGCGAAUUUUGUUUAUAUUUCAAUUCAAUUAAGUAAUUUUUCUGACAAUAACCAUAAUAAACAAUUUUCAUUCUUAUGAAAAAAAAAAUGUAUAGUUAGGAUAGUUAGUAAUUAUACUAUCUAUUGUCAAGAAGCUUUUGCUUAAAAAAAUUUGGAUAUAAGGUAAAGUAUCCUGGAGUCGAUCGCCUCUCGAGUAGACCACCCUGGGGUCCUCAAGUCGACCGGUGGAAAUAUUUAUUUAAUUUAUUUGCAUUUACAAUAAUAUUUAGCGAAUGAUUUAACAUCAUAGGGCCAAUUAUUUCAUAAUUAAUUCAAAUCAGUGAAAAUAUCAUAGAAAUUGACCAUAAAACCCUGAAAAAAAUCAUAAAAAUACGGAGCGUUAAAGUAUUUCUUAAAAAAAAAAUCGCAAUUUUUCAUCAAAUUAUGGCAUACUUUUUGAUAUUCUUGACUUUUUUCUUAAGGAAUUAUUUCAAUUAUUACCCUUACAGAUUACUGGAGAAUUCAAAUUGUUACUUGUGCAAAAAUUUUACUUCCAUGACUAAGUUGAAGAUUAAUUUUAUAUAUUAAAAUUGAAAGUGCAUUUCAAAUAAAUUGUUCCUCAAUUCGACCGGUCGACGAAUCAUAGCAAGUGAAGCUUUUUUCACUUGAACGUUGUUCUAUACUUCCGAAUGAAUUCAUAAAAGUGAGUUUCCCUAUUUAUUUUAUUGAUUAACUAAAUUUUAAGUGCUAUUCAUGAUGUAUUAAACAAGCCAAAGUUAAAUCAGUGACUUUUUAGUUUUGUGAUUUGUUUAAUUUUAAGAAAAAUUGGUGGUCGAGUAGAGGAACCCCAGGCGGUCGAGGAGGAAUACUGAUAUUGAAGUGGUCGAGUAGAGGAACACUUCGCACUUUUAAAACAUUUUAACUUUUCCUAAUGUAAAAUUAUAUUAUGACUAAAUGAAGUUAACAAUUAGAUAAGAAUCUAUUCUAUAGUUUUAGGCAAAAACCCUAUCAAACAACACAAAUUAUAACUGUUUUUUCAUAAUUUUUUCACAAAAUCUAUCCUUAAGUGGUCGACAUAGGAUACUUUACCUUAUUAUAAAAAAUAAUAAUAAUAAAAAUCAUUCAUCAA